rnacentral:tRNA from 1 species
GGGGCUGUAGCUCAGCUGGGAGAGCGCCUGAAUGGCACGCAGGAGGUCAGCGGUUCGAUCCCGCUCAGCUCCACCA